UGGAACCACUAAAAGUGAACAACAGACAGCAGUGCUUGAAAUCUCCCUGGUAAAGAAAGUGCAAAGCUUCACUUAGAAGUUCAAUGGGAAAGAGUCAAAGUAGGAUGAUAAGUAUGAAUGAUGAUUCAACUGAUGAUGGAUUGGCCCACGCUGUGAAAAUUAAGGGUGUUCAGCCCAGUUACUUUAAAGGUUUGGGUGUUAAGACUGGAGGUCUAGUACAGAACACUCUGCUCUUCAUUGAUCAUAAGUGAUGGAAAGUAAACAUCUUUGCACAGUGGGUGGAUAAAAUGUGAGACAGCAAGGUUUGAGCUGCAAAAUCCAUAAAGCAAAAACACAAAACCCCAGAGCUUGGGCUGACAAAAUUGGAAUCCACAGUCUCAUAAAGCUGGUGGGACAGGAAAUCAGAGGAGCAUCAAGACCUCCUUUUUGCAUUGGAAGUAAAGUCCCAAGCCUGGAACCUCUCUUGCACAGGAGCCCAUGUUAUAUCCUGCAAAGACAAAGACACCUGAAGACACCUGUUCUGAUUUACAAUGUAUUUGCUGUGACCCAUGGGACCUGGACUUGACUGCAGUCUGCUGAGGACCAGCAGCACAACAGGAGGCUGGCAACGGGCUUGGAAAGGAUUUGAUAGUGAAGCGGGAACCAUCCACAAACUCAUCACCGACUGACGGGAAGAGAAGCAGGGGGCAGAGUUGCCAGUGGAUGUAGCCACCCUGUGUCCUCCCUGUUCUUUACCAGCUGUACACAAACACCUGCAGAAUCAGUGAUUCACCUGGUCUCCUCACCUGGCCAGUGGCAUUUUACAGGCUUUUCUGUCAGUGUACACAAGCAAAACCUCUUCCUGCUGCUUCUUUGCUCCCCGAGGGGAGAAAAACGAACAGUUGUAGUGGAUGAUUUUAAAUCGCUAAGUCAGUGAUGAAGAAUUUUGGCCCGAACCUUUGCUUCAAAGGUUGAUGUCAUGAGCAACAAGCAAAACACCCUUUCCGAAAUGAUGAACAGAGGCAGGAAACAGCGAAUAUGGCUCGGCUCUUGGCAGGCAGAUGGCGCCAGAUGUGCGUUCGGAGUGGCAGAAAGCCUCUUCUGCCGCCUGGGUCGGGGCAGCGCAGUUUCCCCAGUGGCUGAAGAAUCAGUCCUCGAGCUUUUUGCUACACACAGUGUCACUGUGAAGAACCAAGCAAGCAGUGCAGGCAUCGCAGUCCCUUCCAAGGCAAAGCCAAGGCCCAAAGUCACAUCAAGGACAGUAUGGAGGAGACAGAGGAAGAAAACGUGGUGUUGGAAAAAGCCAGUAACUGCAUUACAACCAAAACCUUGGUUUGGCAUCUUGAAAUGGGAGCAGCUCUGUAUUCACAUCUGCAAGCUGUGGACUCUCCUGCUGUCACAGAGCCUUCAGAACUACUGAAGGUGCUGGAUUUUUCAGCUCCAGCCUUGGCUUAGCCUGGCAGGGAACCAGACCAUGGAGAUGUUCUGUCAGGAUACACAUUACAGACAUGAGCUGAGGACACCAGAAAGUAGAAAAAAUGCACUGACAUCCCUGCCUCUAGUACCACUUACAAAUACUCCUUCUGAACCCAAGCCACGAGUGAAGCUGGUAUGGGAGAAGCAGUGUUGUAAGAGGAAGGAAUUCUAGCAAUGUCACUUCAGCUGCCCAGGUUUGAUCUGACUGUGAGGCUGAAGAGCCACAUGGUGGUUUGUGCUGGGACAGCACCAUGCCUUCACACAUCUUUCUGUGAGCUUCUGUGUUGUGUCCUGUCAGAGCAGAAAUCCUGCAAUUAGUGUUUUCUUGGACAUCUGAUGAAAUACUGCUUCAGGGUUUGGGAGCAUGGAGCUGUCCUUUAGUCUUUGUCACAAGCUGUCACUUUGGUUUAAAAGUUGACUAUUGGAGAAAACUCAUGCAGAGCUACAGGUUCAUGAAGUCCUGCAUAACUUUUCAGUGUUUUUAUGGCAAGCCUUUUUAUAGGCCUCCCUGUCAGGACCGAGGGACUUCUGUAUGCACAGGUUUGUCAGCAGCACAACCCAGUCCUUCACAGGGGGAACAUCAGUGCUCAACAAACCAUAAAACAUUGGGGACGGUCUGUGUUUCACCAUGAGAAGUAGAAUUUUUCAAGCAUGCAACUCCAGUUCACUUUAGGGGAAGAUAAAUAAUUCUUGAUUCAACCCUGAGUGAUCUAGAGUUGUAAAGGUAUCUCUCAGUUUAAAUUGUAUGAAUUGAUCUGUAUCCCACCAGCUGUUUUCCCUCCACUUUCAAGAUGAUCAAACUAAUGAACUGUACCAUGAGGUUACAUGGAAUCACCCAGGCCACACCAGCUGUGUGCACUUUGCUGGGGACAAAGCCUGCCAUUGCCUUUGCAGAUUGAAGAAAUCUCCAGCACUGGUGUCCUGGAAACAUUUUUCUAUCAGGCUGACUCUGUACAAGUAGCUCCUGUAGCCACAGACAUCCCUGUUGUGCUCAGAGAUGGAGUUUGUUUCUGCUGCUGCCCAAGCCAGGAAGCAGAACUUUAUAGUUGCAGUUGUCUUGGCCAGUGGUCCCCACCACCAGCAGCAGUGGCAAAAAGAGGGAGGACAAGAACCAUUCCCAGUCCUGAUGCACAGCAACAAGUGAUUUGUUUCUGACCUAUACCACAUUAUCCUCUAGAAGAGUUGCAGAAAUGUCCUUUACAACAUUAACAUGCAAGCUGCAAGUGCAGUGUAGAGAAAACUCCAUCACCUUGGGGUACUGACAGGAGGUACUCUCCUGCUGAUGGAGAUUACACACAAUUUAUGCAUCAGUACCAGGGUUAGGAAGGUUGAGGCUUUUUUCUUUAAAAAAAAAACCAACCCAGAUGCUUCCAAUGAUAGAACCCUUUAUCCAAAAAAGACCACCAGAGCAAUCCAAAAUGUUUGCCCUCAAGGGAAGAAAAACUCCCUGGUCAGAAAAUAUUUUCCUACUUCUUCAUUGUGUUUCCCAACUCCCUCCUUCAUGUUAUCUGAGCCAAGCCUGGAAGCAGCAUGGCUCAGAACCAAGGAAUAAGGAUGGUACUGCUGGGGCUUUGCUUUUUCUGUUCAGUGUGGAGGGAAAGGGUGAAGGAGUUAUUACUCCAGACACUCCCCAUGCUACCUUGUUUUUCAUGUCAUAUUUGAACAGGCAAAUCCCCAUAACAGCACUGACACAACAGUGUCUGUCCCCUCAGCAAUCUGGUGACAUCAUUUCCAUUGCCAAAGGGUCUGUGCCAGCCAAGUGGAGGCAGGCUGGCUUGAGUCCUUAGAGAGACUCUUAUUACUGUAAUGAUCUGCUGGGGUGACAGACCUAUGUACUUGUUAUCCUUUCAGAGAAUGCUUUUCCAAAACUAACAGCCUCAUUUUUUUCAUCAGAAGAUAAUUACACAGUACAAAUUGGCCCUUGGGUUGCUCAGGGUAGAAGAAAUCAAGGAAGGAAGUACUUUCCUAAAUAUACAGUGACUUUAGAAGUGAAAUAUUUUUGCCCCAGAAAAGGACAGAGGGAGAGAGCCAAACAGAAUAAACUAGUGCUUAAAUGGCUCAUUAAUUCUUAGCUUCCCCUGACCACACAGUAAUCUGCAGCUUGCUGAAGGAGUCCCAACAACAUGACCAUAAACCACAGCUCAGAAGCAGAAGACAGCUAGGAGACGUAUUAUGUUGUCCUGCAAUGUGAUGAGAGUACUGACAUGUGGUAUGUCAGUACAGAGAAGGUCUACAGCAAUAAAUACCCUGUCACAGGCCUGCCCCCAGGGAGGAAAUACUUAUUCUGAGUCAUUGUCUGCAAUGACAGUGGGGACACUGACCCUCUGGAUUCACAGGAGCAAUGGAACAUCUCCAAACACAGACAUAAGCACAAGACUCUGGGCUAAGCUCCCUGUGUGGCCUUGUAUAUGUCACUCGCCUGCUUUGCACCUCAGGUGCUCACCUGGGGAUUAGAUACAAGAAUACCUCCUCUUCUAUCCCUUCCAUUUGUUGGCAAUCUCUUUAGGAUCAGGCUUCCUUUUACUACAUGUGUAUGGAGCCCAUUACAUAGUGCUUUAUACAGAUGCUGUUCAAAUUAAAAUUCAGGGCAUCCGUGUGCUCAGAGGGUGAUAUUAUCAUGUCUGGACAUAACAGGAGAUUGGUGUUACAAGCCAUUUGUCUUGUAGCACAUUUUCAGUCUGACUGGGAUUUGUUCCCUAAAGGAGAAGCAAGGAAAUCUGUGACAUGUAGGAGACGGUUUGACAGUCUUUCUGGACCAGAAAUCCCUGAAAGCACAUUAAAUUAAACAUUUAGAGGUCAUUCUGUCAGGUAAAUGCCUUUGUCUUUGUUCAGUUGCUCCCUACACAUGCCCAAUCAUUACACGGAUGUCUAAUCAGCAGUGUUCCCAAACAUAACUGAACAUGGCCCAGCUCGUCAAGUCAAAGCAGUGAGUGAUCCUUCUGCCCAGUCUGGGGAAUUGCAGAAUGCAGUGACUCUAAAUGGUGAGAUCAAAGACAAUUUUUUUUUGGAUUGGCCUGUGCCUGGUGUAAUAGAACAUAUAGUAAUAUAAAAAUUAUAUAUUAAUACAUAUUACUAUAUCAGACAUCUGUUUCUUCAGCAGCCUAUCCACAUGCUGCUAUGAGUCUUCUAAUCCCAUUAAGAGUAAUGGGCAACACAUUAAAGUGACAGAAGGAGUGGUACACUAGAAGGAGUAAAGAGGUCUCAAACUGUAUAUUUGUAUUUACCAAUCAGCCUUUCCUGAUGGAUUAGACCAUAAAUAUGUUAUUUUGGCAGCUGAGAAAGAGCACUUCCAGUUACUGUGGCUGUAGUUGUGUUCUUGUGUGGAAGUGCUCUAGGCCUGGAUUCUACAGAGCCUGAAAUGACUUCAGCAACUCCUGUGCAUGUAGGCAAGGAGAGCUGUAAAUGGAGGAAAGUUAGCUUGGCUGUGCCUUGCACUCCAUUCCCUUGAUAACAGCCUACCUGUCUUCAGGCAGCACCAGAAGGACACAGAUGUGAACUGAUUUCUUAUUCUUCAUAUAAAUGGCAAGUCACAAGGUUUAUUUGCAUAAACCUGAGACAUGGUAGAAAAACUCUGAAGGAGAAUAAGGAGAUAAGCUCUUUUCCAAGAAUGGGGUCUCAUGAAAG